AUUAUCGGGGAUUAUUCUUUCGAGUUGCCGUGCCUAAUAACGAUAGGCAAGCGACAACCUAUGUUUGCACUAUAACAAGCAUUUCGGGGAUGCGCGCACGACCCCACCCACAGGGAACUCAAAUCCCCAUCCCCCGCUAUAGAUUUCCUGCAAAUAUUACGACUUUAAUCAGUUUACAAGUUUCACAAUUUAUAGCGGCAUUAAGCAGAAAUAAUUGCUCCGACCUUUCAUUGGAGCGUCGCGCGCUAUUCUCUCAGACGUUGCACUCCCACAUACCUACGUUGCAUGCCGCUCUGGAUUUAUGUGGAUUAAGAGAAAACCAAGAUCCCGUGAAACACGUUGGAGGCGCGGAUAUGCGCGGUGACCGACAUUCAUCAUCAGUCUAAUUUCCCACACAAUUCUAAUUAUUUCUGACUACUUUUAAUUAUUGCGACACAUUUUUUUCUAAUUAUUGAAAAGUAAAACGAUUUCCAUGAGUUUAAAAUUAUUUUAAAUGUAUUCUCGAAUUGCCAUUAAAUACGUAUCGUAAUUAAAUUUUUGAAUUAAAUUUAAUGUUCGUGUGACGACAUUGCAUUUCUCUGUCAUGACAAAAAGUUCUCACUCUCGAGCAACCUGUAUGUAUACUCGUGUAUUCUCAUGUGAAUUAUACGUGUGCUUAAUUCAGGAGUAAAAUCCCUUUGAAAUGUGUGUGAGAAAACACAACGUAGCCGGAUUGUGAGUUUUUUAGUCGAUGAAGAAUAUAGUUAACUAGGUCAUUUUCUUUUUUUUUUUUAACAAGCGGAAGGUUUGUCUGCGCCCGAUUGAACGGAGGAUUCAUCUGUAAUUAAAUGGUUUUCGAAUUUAAACGAAAGCCCUAAAACACCGAGCGUUUAUUAGCCGAUGCAGCGGCGCGGAUCAAACUUUAUCCUCCAUAUCCGAUCAGUCGCGAAUUAAAGGGGAGGACUUUGAAGAGAGACUCCGAAAUGCGGAGGAACGGUUUAAUACUGGUCAACACGAAUACGAGCAGUAUUUAGCAUUUAGCAUUUAGUAUAUGUAAAAUUAAACACGAGUUAUUUAACUGUACGGUCAGGCGAAGGUAUUUUAGGAGCGUCGCGAUGAAGACACUUUCGAGGGACUAAAAUUGACGCACGCGACGUGAAUAUUCCAAACGAUUUGAAAUAAUCCGCUUUUCCUGGCGACGCACUAGGUCUGUCGCUUUGGAGUUCCGUAAAUACCGAGUAUAUAACGAUCUCCAAAGCGUACCGACAAGCAACUCGACGAACUCCACGAACGCGUCCGCAUUAUUCGCGCGCGCCUAUUUCAAGGAGAUAUUUAACCCUGAAAUAAAAUUAGGGACAAGAAAAUCCGCAUCGGCCAAACUUUAAACAGCCGCUGCCAACUGCAGCGGUACAACAGAGAGUGCGUGUGUUUUCCUAAAUCCUGUAUGCGCGCAAUAUAACCUACGACGUUAGCCGAAAGUUGUUGGAAGACGAUUGGUAUACGGCAAACCGGCGAAAUAUCAGCGUCAUUCUUAUUGAACCUAACGUCACUCGCAUCUCACCAUUUAUGUCAGCGGCAUGUCUGGCUCUUUGUUCAGAAGCCCAAGGAUAUUACAAUAUCGACAUGUCACGCUUUAAAGCUGUCAAGAAAUCUCAGUUGACAGUGCCGAAAUGAAUUUAAGCCAGAAACUUUAUCAGGUCAUGCGUGAGAAAAUGGACAUUUCCGCAAAGAGAGUUACAUACUUCUUUGGCAGUUAGUAAAACAUGUGAAUAUUUUGAUAUAAAUAUCAGUGCCAGAUAUACUCGAUGACAUUUGCAGGCUUAUAUAUUCUUCAAUAAAAGAGAGAGAGCAAAUCAACUGAGCUGCGUUUGUAUUUAAUCGAUGUUCAUCAAACUGUCCGCGAAACAUGUUGAAUUCGCAGUUGGAUUAAUGCAAAAGGUAGCAGAUGGUAGAACGUCGGCAGUGACCUCUCGGCAUCCCACUGAACCACGCGCUCGAGGGCAGACUAUUUGGAAGACCGCCAACGACGCGUUUAUUGUCGUAAAUUGUCGUAAAAACAUGCAUGUAUCAAACUAGAUAUCGCGUCAGUUAGACGUUGUAGCACUUAGAUUCAAUGAUCCGUCAAAAUAACACAUGUCUCGUGAUUUUUAGUAGCAGUACAAGUAAUAUUAUAAAUUAUGUUGUAAAGGCAGUGAGAGAGAGAGAGAGAGAGAGAGAGAGAAACUAUUCUCGUUCAGUCAUGACACAUUUACAGUUAUUUCACUGCGAAUCACAGUAAAAGCGAUUGGCAAGAGUAGCGAAACGAUGAUGGAAAUAACGACCAAUGUUACAAUACAAAUUGAAUUUAGUGUUUAUGGGACGCGGAAUGGACAAUACCGAUAAUAAUAUAACGGCGAUGCAUUAUCUGUGAUAUUUGUUUUAUCAAAUUACUAAUAUUAUCCGAUUGUUGUUAAUGUAUUAUGGAAUAACGAUGAAAAUGAAGAAAUGUAGAAUAACGUUUUUUAAAAAAUACAGCCUUUUCACAGCGGCAAACUUUACGAUAAAAAUGUAUACAAAAACAGAUUGAAAAUACAAUAAUUGAUAACCUCCGUUGUGCAAUUCGAUAAAAACUCGGGACGAGUAGCUUUUAUCGUGUAAAACGUGAGGUAAACAGCAUGUCUCAUUCGUCGAUGAAAUACUCAAGUAAUACGAAAAGAAAGAUUCCUUCGAUGUUCAGAAAGAAAACAUGAAACACGAUCGUGGCUUCACGCUGAGCGAGAUAAAUAGACGGCUGGACCGAGUGCAGAAAGAAAUUGCAAGAAAAAGAACAUGUAAGGGAAUGACGACGUGGCGAGAGACGGCAGGACGAAGUAUCCCAGAAUUUGCAACCUAAUUUGCAAGAGCAACUUCGUAGAUAUCGUGUUUUCGUUAAUUAUAACGUCACUUUGAAAACAUUCUCGUUCCACAAAAUUUAUCGAGAGAUAAAGCUUAAACUGGUUGCAACUUUCUAUUAAUUACGGAACUCCAACGAGACUGAAAAGUAAGUGUACGUUGCGCAAUAUACUAAUAAAAAGAUUGUUAGCGGUUCAGUUAAUCAUUA